rnacentral:rRNA from 1 species
CCUACGGGAGACAGCAGUGAGGAAUAUUGGUCAAUGGACGAGAGUCUGAACCAGCCAAGUAGCGUGAAGGAUGACUGCCCUAUGGGUUGUAAACUUCUUUUAUAUGGGAAUAAAAUGUUCCACGUGUGGGUUUUUGUAUGUACCAUAUGAAUAAGGAUCGGCUAACUCCGUGCCAGCAGCCGCGGUAAUACGGAGGAUCCGAGCGUUAUCCGGAUUUAUUGGGUUUAAAGGGAGCGUAGGUGGAUUGUUAAGUCAGUUGUGAAAGUUUGCGGCUCAACCGUAAAAUUGCAGUUGAAACUGGCAGUCUUGAGUACAGUAGAGGUGGGCGGAAUUCGUGGUGUAGCGGUGAAAUGCUUAGAUAUCACGAAGAACUCCGAUUGCGAAGGCAGCUCACUGGACUGCAACUGACACUGAGGCUCGAAAGUGUGGGUAUCAAACAGGAUUAGAUACCCGUGUAGUC